UACAGAGGCCUCAAGCGUUAGGCGGAAUCACUGGGCUUAAAGCGUGUGUAGGCGGAUCGUUAAGUGUCUUGUGAAAUCCCACGGCUCACCCGUGGAACUGCUGGGCAUACUGGCGAUCUUGGGCCAACUAGGGGCAACUGGAACAAGCGGUGGAGCGGUGAAAUGCGUAGAUAUCAGGAGGAACACCAAUGGCGAAGGCAGCUCGCUGGGACGUGACUGACGCUGAGACGCGAAAGCGUGGGGAGCGAACAGG
rnacentral:rRNA from 1 species